rnacentral:rRNA from 1 species
CCUACGGGUGGCAGCAGUCGAGAAUCAUUCACAAUGGGGGAAACCCUGAUGCUGCGACGCCGCGUGGGGGAAUGAAGGUCUUCGGAUUGUAAACCCCUGUCAUGUGGGAGCAAAUUAAAAAGAUAGUACCACAAGAGGAAGAGACGGCUAACUCUGUGCCAGCAGCCGCGGUAAUACAGAGGUCUCAAGCGUUGUUCGGAAUCACUGGGCGUAAAGCGUGCGUAGGCUGUUUCGUAAGUCGUGUGUGAAAGGCGCGGGCUCAACCCGCGGACGGCACCUGAUACUGGGGGACUAGAGGAAUGGAGGGGGAAGCGGAAUUCGCGGUGUAGCAGUGAAAUGCGUAGAUAUGGCGAGGAACCCUCGUGGCGAAGGCGGGUUCCUGGACAUGAACUGACGCUGAGGCACGAAGGCCAGGGGAGCGAAAGGGAUUAGAUACCCGGGUAGUC